AGUAAAGUCUUAUAUUCGGAAACUAAUUAUUAUAAUGGAAUAUAAAUAACCGGGCUUGGGGAGCAUGAGAUUUCGGCCGACAGGUUAUAAUUGUAAUUUAUGUUUACAAGGAAACAAAUUGAGAUUUAAACGUCGAACCUAGAAUUUAUGAAUUUGGUCGACGAAAAUAUAUAAAAAAAAUAUUUUAAAAAUCAGAACUCAAGUUGAUAAACGAUUUAAUAAUUUUAAAAGGAACAGAAGUCUAAAGUUUUGUGUGUUUGAUUAUAGUGCGAGGCUAGAGUCAACUCUAGAGUUAAGCAUGAUUUAUUUUAUAAUUAUUAACGAAUAAUUUAUAUUUAGAUUUGGCGAGUUCGCGAAUCCCAGGGUCAGAAUUGCAGCAGCAGUAAGAGAGUAUUAUUUUGGAAAAUAGCGGUGGACUGUACAUAGUAUUUUGCGUGAUCGAACUUCCACUUUUUCUUCCGGAAGUCGACGUAUUUGAAAUGUAAACAAAAAUAAUUAAUUUAAUUCUAGAGCCGCAGUAGUCUAGUAGUUUAGAGGUCUUGUUUUGCUGUACAAACUCUGAUUUUGAAACUACUACUGUUUGUAUAUUAUUUA